rnacentral:rRNA from 1 species
UACGUAGGGCGCAAGCGUUGUCCGGAAUUAUUGGGCGUAAAGAGCGUGUAGGCGGCCAGUCAGGUCCGUUGUGAAAACUCGAGGCUCAACCUCGAGACGCCGAUGGAAACCGACUGGCUAGAGUCCGGAAGAGGAGAGUGGAAUUCCCGGUGUAGCGGUGAAAUGCGCAGAUAUCGGGAAGAACACCCGUGGCUAAGGCGGCUCUCUAGUACGGUACUGACGCUGAGACGCGAAAGCGUGGGGAGCGAACAGG